GAUUAUUUCUUCAAAAAAAAAACCCUAAACUUUUCUUAAAACUCUUUUAACCUCCCUUGUGGGCUUCGUCGACGCCUAAUGUGCCUCUAUUUCUGCCAUGGCUUUAACCGGAGAUCCGUUUGCCUUUGGACCAAAGGAGCAAAACGUCGACUAGGUCGACACCGAACGAUCGGUAAACAAACCUUCACUCUUUUGCAUAUUUGUAUGAUAGAUUCAAACAAAGUAAGGAAAAAGAUAAGAAUAAAGGAUCAAUGAAUGAACCACCUUGAUAUGUAUUUGAUUUUUGUAUUUGAUUGUUAUUUGCGCAUAUACUUUCGUAACCUUUUUAUAGUAUAUAAUCGGCCUCCCUUUUAUAGCUGAAUAGAAAUUAAAAUAUAAAUGCAAAUUUUCCUCAUUUUCUUUUCUGCUAUUCUUUUGCUGUAUUCUGUUACUUUUUCUUCUCGCAGGUUCGGCUAACUUGGAUGUGUACGGAGGCCGUACGAGGGCAAUCCAUGGGGUGUACAGAGGCUGCUUGGUGACUACUGCAGCGCCUAGCAGCAAGGGAAACCCUAAGGCUUCUGUUUCUGAAAAAUUUUGGGCCAUUGGGCUUGUUUUCGCUAUUGGGCCACUGUAAUUUGGUCUGUUUGGGGGUGUUGGGUGUAAUGGGGUUUUAGGUUUUAAUUUGGGCUGGUGAAGGCUGUAAAUGGAUUAUUUUGGAUUGUUUUAAUUUUGUGGUUUUUGUUAAUUAUUUUGUUUUAUUAUUUCUGAUGGGCCCAGACAAAUUGGGCUGCUUACAGGGUGACAUACAAAAACUAUACAAAUGUCAAAAUAAAAGACACUCCCUUCUUAAAGUGACAAGAUAUAUUGUGUACGAUGUGAGACGGUGGUGUGACAUCUUGAUAUUCGGGUUCGGCGACUGGGCU
rnacentral:lncRNA from 1 species